rnacentral:rRNA from 1 species
GAUGAACGCUGACAGAAUGCUUAACACAUGCAAGUCUUUGGCGAAGCUGUGCUUGCACAGCCUAGCCAAGGCGGACGGGUGAGUAACGCGUAAGGAACUUGCCCUGCAGUCAGGGAUAACAGACGGAAACGACUGAUAAGACCUGGUAAAGUCAGGCGGACUCAUGUCCAGCCUGAUGAAAAGUGAUGCUGCAGGAGAGCCUUGCGUCCUAUUAGCUUGUUGGUGGGGUAACGGCCCACCAAGGCGAUGAUAGGUAGCCGGCCUGAGAGGGUGGACGGCCACAAGGGGACUGAGAUACAGCCCUUACUCCUACGGGAGGCAGCAGUGGGGAAUAUUGGACAAUGGGGGCAACCCUGAUCCAGCAAUUCUGUGUGCACGAUGAAGGUUUUCGGAUUGUAAAGUGCUUUCAGCAGGGAAGAAAAAAAUGACGGUACCUGCAGAAGAAGCGACGGCUAAAUACGUG